rnacentral:rRNA from 1 species
GACAGAGGGUGCAAACGUUGCUCGGAUUUACUGGGCGUAAAGCGCGUGUAGGCGGCCUUGCAAGUCGGAUGUGAAAGCCCACGGCUCAACCGUGGAAGUGCAUCCGAAACUGCAUAGCUUGAGUCUCGGAGAGGAAGGUGGAAUGCUAGGUGUAGAGGUGAAAUUCGUAGAUAUCAAGCAGAACACCUGCGGCGAAGGCGGCCUUCUGGACGAUGACUGACGCUGAGACGCGAAAGCGUGGGGAGCAAACAGG